rnacentral:lncRNA from 1 species
GUGCCUUAGGACACCUGCGAGAAGUCAGUUCCCUGGCCUCCUCUCCUCUCUGCUGUGAUGGAAUUUUCCAGAAGGACAGAGCCAUAGAGUUCCUCACUAUCUAGACUUCUGUUGUGAGCCCACUUACAAGCCAGGCAAAGGGAACAAUUCAACACUGUGGAAUAGUUACCAAGAGCCAGGAAGACCUUACACAAUGUCCCCUGGAAUCAUAUAACCCCCUCAGUGCAGUGGGCCAGCCAUGAGCAAUGGCCCCAUCAGACAGGCCUGGUGGGUCUCUCUGCACGACUGAUGUUCAUCCUAGCGAUCUGGGAUCCAGGAGUCGGGUCCACAUGCACCAUGGCCCACAAGAUGCAGAGGACACACCCAGAACGCACACGGCCAGAAGAGGGCUCAGGGGAACAGCCUUAUGUGGGUUCGGAUGGCCACAGAUUGUAUCCCAACGUCUACUCGGGGUCACGGCCAGAAGAGGGCUCAGGGGGACAGCCUUAUGUGGGUUCGGAUGGCCAGAUUGCAUCCCACCAUCUACUCGGGGUCACGGCCAGAAGAUGGCUCAGGGGAACAGCCUUAUGCGGGUUCAGAUGGCCACAGAUUGCAUCCCAUCGUCUACUCGGGGUCAAAAGGUCAGCAACAGGGCAGGCAGUCCUGUUCAGGAGACACCAGCCCAGGGACUAGAAGGACACUUGGAACCCAGCUACAAUUUUAACCAACCAUGUUUUGAGGGGUUGGCAGAAACUUCUGUGGCCCGUGGCACAUGGCAAGCUUCAGAGAAGGUCACGAGUUUCACAGUGGCCUGUGAAGUGACCCUAGAACCUACUUCUCAGUGAGCCCCUGGUUAUCUAGAGGGGGCUAUGCUGAAACAGGUACAAAACUCUCAAGAAAUAUCCUUCAGAAAGAAGGGGAUUCUGACGCAGCAAGAUCUGUGUUCCCCCCUAGCCACAGCUCAGAUCAUUUCUCCCAAGCCUCGAAUGUUGCAGGCUAACUGCGCACACCUCUGGACACCUGCGCCUGGCACCCGACGUAGGGGUCCACCAAGCCAGACAGUACCACAGCUGACUGUCACACAGCCACUGGCUGAUCAGACUAAUGCCUUUGGUGGAAUGUGAAGGGCAAUUAUUUAUGCAAAAAAAUACUCUUUUUUUUU